AUGUCCUUGAGACACCAUGGCGAAGACAAAAGCAGCAGUGAACAAAUUGGCCGUAUUGGGUGCCUGGUCACCAGGGCUGCUUUUAAUUCUGGCAAAGUGGAUAUUGCCAUCAAUGACCCCUUCAUUGACCUCAACUAUGUGUCUACAUGUUCCAGCAUGACUCCACCCACAGCAAGUUCCAUGGCACCGUCAAGUCUGACAGCGGGAAGCUUGUCAUUAAUGAAAAUCCUAUCACCAUCUUCCAGGAGGGAGAUCCCACCAAAAUCAAACGGGGCGCCACUGACACUGAUUAUGUGGUGGAGUCCACAGGUGUCUCCACUACUUUGGAGAAGGCUGGAGCUAACUUACAGAGGUGAGCCAAAAGAGUCAUCAUCUCUGCUUCCUCCACUGACUCCUCCAUGCUUGUGGUGGACACGACCCACAAGAGGUACUAGGACAACCUCAAGAUUGUCAGCAAUGCCUGCUGCAUCACCGACUGCUGAGCCCUUCUGGCCAAGGUCAUCAACGACAACUUUGGCAUUGAAGAGUGACCCAUGACCACCGUUCACACCAUUACUGCCACCAAGAAGACUGUGGAUGGCCCAUUUGGGAAGCUGUGGUGGGACGGUCCGGGGGUCCCUAAAGAGCAUCACCCCUGCACCCAGUGACACAGCAAAGGCUGUGGGCAAGGUCAUCUGUGAGCUGAAUAGGAAUGGCUUUCCGUGUCUCCACAGUCAAUGUGUCUGUCAUGGCCCUGAUUUGUUGUCUGGAGAACCCACCAAAUAUAGUGACAUCCAGAAGGCGGUGAAGCAGGCAUCUGAGGGCCCCCUCAAAGGCAUCCUGGGCUACACCAAGCACCGGGUUGUAUCCUCCAACUUUAACAGUGACACCCACUCUUCCACCUUUGAUGCUGGGGCUGGCAUUGCCCUCAACGACCACUUUGCCAAGUUCAUCUCUUGGUAUACAAUGAAUUUGGCUACCGUCACAGAGUGGUGGACCUCAUGGUCCACAUGACCUCCAAGGAGUAAGAGCCCCUGGACCACCAGCCCCAGUGAGAGCACAAGAGGAAGAGAGAAGCCCCCAGCUGCUGGGCAGUCCCUGCUACACUCAGUCCCCGACCACACUGAGAAUCUCCCCUCCUCACAGUGUCCAUGCCAGACACCCUGAAGAAUGUGGGAAGACCUAGGGAGCCUCACCUCAUGUUCCAUCAG